rnacentral:rRNA from 1 species
GAUCAUGGCUCAGGACGAACGCUGGCGGCGUGCCUAAUACAUGCAAGUCGAACGGACGAUGGGGCUUGGCCCCAAAGUUAGUGGCGAACGGGUGAGUAACGCGUGAGCAACCUGACUCAAAGAGGGGGACAACAGCUGGAAACGGCUGCUAAUACCGCAUAAGACCACAGCGCGGCAUCGCAAAGGGGUCAAAGAAUUAUCGCUUUGAGAGGGGCUCGCGUCCCAUUAGAUAGUUGGUGAGGUAACGGCCCACCAAGUCCGCGAUGGGUAGCCGAGCUGAGAGGCUGAUCGGCCACACUGGAACUGAGACACGGUCCAGACUCCUACGGGAGGCAGCAGUAGGGAAUAUUGGGCAAUGGGCGCAAGCCUGAACCCCAGCAACGCCGCGUGAGGGAAGAAGGUUUUCGGAUUGUAAACCUCUGUCCUAUGUGACGAAGGAAGUGACGGUAGCAUAGGAGGAAGCCCCGGCUAACUACGUGCCAGCAGCUGC